CCUAGAUAAAAUAUUUAGAUAUAAAAGAAGUCUUUAUAUAGACUGCAGCUGUCUUUUUUAGCUUUUCUUUGUGGUCUUUCAGGCCUUGUCAAUAACUGUGCAAGGAUGGAGAAUGAAUCACAAUAUAUUUAUAUUUCAUAUGAUAAGGUAGAAUGUUCUGUGCUAGAUCCUUGGACUUACCUCAUAUAGCAGAAGAUUACUCUGGGAUAACUGCAAAAAGAGUUCAAGCCUGUGAUACUGUAAGAUUACCGGGUAUUUUCACAGCUGGAAGAGUAGACCAUUAUAUUCCACACCAUGGUAUGUAUUAAACUCAAGGUAGGAUGAUGCUAAACGUUCUGGGAUGAGCUAACCCUUUGGGACCUUCAAAAAUCCAGUCCUUGGCAGAGCUGACUUUGGUCUGCAUGCAGGUAUGGUAUACUAGAUGCCUAGCACCAAGUUUAUCAUUGCAGGCAGC
rnacentral:lncRNA from 1 species